UACGUAGGGGGCAAGCGUUGUCCGGAAUCAUUGGGCGUAAAGAGCGUGUAGGCGGUCCGGUAAGUCGGUUGUGAAAGUCCAGGGCUCAACCCUGGGAUGCCGGUCGAUACUGCCGGACUAGAGUUCGGAAGAGGCGAGUGGAAUUCCCGGUGUAGCGGUGAAAUGCGCAGAUAUCGGGAGGAACACCUAUGGCGAAGGCAGCUCGCUGGGACGUUACUGACGCUGAGACGCGAAAGCGUGGGGAGCAAACAGG
rnacentral:rRNA from 1 species